AUACAACACAUGUUUCUGUGAGCUCAAGGUUGGGGCAAAUUAUAGAUUAACAGCAUCUCAAGGCAAAGCAAUUGUUCAGAGUAUAGGUCAAAAUGGAGUUUCUUAUGUCUUCCCUUUCUACAUAGACACAGUAACAGUCUGAUCUCUCAUUCUUUUCCCUAUAGUGAUAGAAAAGAAAAACCCAUUUUCUGAGGAGAAAUUCAAGCUGGCUGCAGAAAUUUGCGAUAUUAUCACUCAAUUCACAGAAGAGGAAAUAGAAGGAGAGAAACAUAGAGUGAUUUUCGUAUCUGGUAAGUAGCAGACACACAAUUUGAACUCAGGAUUUUUAGACUCUAAAUUUUUGAGAGAACCAAAAAAG
rnacentral:lncRNA from 1 species